rnacentral:rRNA from 1 species
UGAAGAGUUUGAUCAUGGCUCAGAUUGAACGCUGGCGGCAGGCCUAACACAUGCAAGUCGAACGGUAACAGGAAGCAGCUUGCUGCUUUGCUGACGAGUGGCGGACGGGUGAGUAAUGUCUGGGAAACUGCCUGAUGGAGGGGGAUAACUACUGGAAACGGUGGCUAAUACCGCAUAACGUCGCAAGACCAAAGAGGGGGACCUUCGGGCCUCUUGCCAUCAGAUGUGCCCAGAUGGGAUUAGCUUGUUGGUGAGGUAACGGCUCACCAAGGCGACGAUCCCUAGCUGGUCUGAGAGGAUGACCAGCCACACUGGAACUGAGACACGGUCCAGACUCCUACGGGAGGCAGCAGUGGGGAAUAUUGCACAAUGGGCGCAAGCCUGAUGCAGCCAUGCCGCGUGUAUGAAGAAGGCCUUCGGGUUGUAAAGUACUUUCAGCGGGGAGGAAGGUGUUGUGGUUAAUAACCGCAGCAAUUGACGUUACCCGCAGAAGAAGCACCGGCUAACUCCGUGCCAGCAGCCGCGGUAAUACGGAGGGUGCAAGCGUUAAUCGGAAUUACUGGGCGUAAAGCGCACGCAGGCGGUCUGUCAAGUCGGAUGUGAAAUCCCCGGGCUCAACCUGGGAACUGCAUUCGAAACUGGCAGGCUUGAGUCUUGUAGAGGGGGGUAGAAUUCCAGGUGUAGCGGUGAAAUGCGUAGAGAUCUGGAGGAAUACCGGUGGCGAAGGCGGCCCCCUGGACAAAGACUGACGCUCAGGUGCGAAAGCGUGGGGAGCAAACAGGAUUAGAUACCCUGGUAGUCCACGCCGUAAACGAUGUCUACUUGGAGGUUGUGCCCUUGAGGCGUGGCUUCCGGAGCUAACGCGUUAAGUAGACCGCCUGGGGAGUACGGCCGCAAGGUUAAAACUCAAAUGAAUUGACGGGGGCCCGCACAAGCGGUGGAGCAUGUGGUUUAAUUCGAUGCAACGCGAAGAACCUUACCUGGUCUUGACAUCCACAGAACUUUCCAGAGAUGGAUUGGUGCCUUCGGGAACUGUGAGACAGGUGCUGCAUGGCUGUCGUCAGCUCGUGUUGUGAAAUGUUGGGUUAAGUCCCGCAACGAGCGCAACCCUUAUCCUUUGUUGCCAGCGGUCCGGCCGGGAACUCAAAGGAGACUGCCAGUGAUAAACUGGAGGAAGGUGGGGAUGACGUCAAGUCAUCAUGGCCCUUACGACCAGGGCUACACACGUGCUACAAUGGCGCAUACAAAGAGAAGCGACCUCGCGAGAGCAAGCGGACCUCAUAAAGUGCGUCGUAGUCCGGAUUGGAGUCUGCAACUCGACUCCAUGAAGUCGGAAUCGCUAGUAAUCGUGGAUCAGAAUGCCACGGUGAAUACGUUCCCGGGCCUUGUACACACCGCCCGUCACACCAUGGGAGUGGGUUGCAAAAGAAGUAGGUAGCUUAACCUUCGGGAGGGCGCUUACCACUUUGUGAUUCAUGACUGGGGUGAAGUCGUAACA